GACGAACGCUGGCGGCGUGCUUAACACAUGCAAGUCGAACGGAAAAGCCCUGUUUUUGUGGGGUGCUGGUGUGUCGCACGCGUGUGUAUCACAUGUGUAUACUGCCCUUGACUCUUGGGUAUCUUCAGGAAACUGGGGCUAAUACCGGAUAUGAGCUCCUGCUGCAUAGUGGGGGUUGGAAAAUUUCGGCGGUUGGGGAUGGACUCGCGGCUCAUCAGCUUGUUGGUGGGGUGGUGGCUUACCAAGGCGUUGACGGGUAGCCGGCCGGGGAGGGUGACCGGCCACAGUGGGGCUGAGAUACGGCCCAGACUACUACGGGCGGCAGUGGUGGGGAUUAUUGCACAAGGGGCGGAAGGCUGAAGCAGCAACGCGGCGGGCGGGAUGACGGCCGUCGGGUUGUAAACCGUUUUCGCCGGAGACGAAGCGGGAGUAACGGUAAUGGAGAAAGAAGCACCGCCUAACUACGU
rnacentral:rRNA from 1 species